GGGGAAGCGGGGGAGAGCGGAGCCUGUGGACUGGCAGACCGUCGCUCGCUCGCUCGCUCGCUCGCUGGAGACUAUGCGCAGGCGCGGUGCACUGCGCGCCGGCACUAGGGUGUUUUUGCCGUUGGCUGUGGAGAAACAGCAGGCGGCGUGGACUGCCGUUGCUGAGCUGGUGUGGAAUGUCUGUGGUCAGCUUCUUGAACCUGAUGCCUUCUCUAGUGAGGUUAAUGGGGCUUCUGCACAACAUAUGAACAGCCAAAGGAUUACCCUCUCCAGAUGUUGGUGCCUGGCUCUUGGACUUCCCAGCCUCCUAGAACUGUGAAAAAAAAAAAUUAAAGAAAUUAACAGGAGGUGGCCAAGAUGGUCAGCUAGAAGCAGCUAGUGUUUGUGGCUCUCACAGAAACGAAUGGAAGGAGAAAGUAAAUACAGCACCUUCAACUGAAACAUGCAGGACCACCCAACUGGAGCCUCCAGCCACCCCUGCUGGCAUUCUCUGGCCAUUAGCACCUGCAGGGAGACAGGAACCCCUGUAUCCACCAGCACUCUGCUACAGCUGCCACACCAUAGCACUCGCCAGCACAGUGGACCCUAAACCAUGAGGAGCCACAGGACAAUGGCAGGGCUUGAUGCAAGUCCCCCAGAGUUAGAGAACGCAGUCCAGGAGUUGGAAUCUGAGCUUUGGCCCCCUAAAAUCUCUCAAAAAAUGAAGCCAGUUGACAGAAUUCAUCUUAUACCACAAUCAAACCCUCAAGGUCAUCAAAUAGGAUAAAACAAACAAAAAACCCAAAGGUCAGCAGCCUCAAAGAUUGAAGGUAGAAGCCCACAAAGAUGAGAAAGAAUCAGCACAAGAAUGACAAAAACUCAAAAAGCCAGAGUGCCUUCUUUCCCCCAAAGGACUGCAUCACCUCCAGCAAAGGUUCAGAACUGGGCUGAGGCUGAGAUGGCUGAAAUGACAGAAGUAGAAUUCAGAGUAUGGAUAGGUACAAAGUUCAUUGAACUACAGGUGUAUGUUGUAACCCAAUACAAGGAAGCUAAAAAUCAUAAAACAUAGCAGGAGCUGACAGACAAAAUAGCCAAUAUAAAGAAGAACAUGACUUAGCUGAUAGAGCUGAAAAAUACAUUACAAGAAUUUCAUAAUGCAGUCACAAAUAUUAAUAGUAGAAGAAACCAAGCAGAGGAAAGAAUCUCAGAGCUUGGAGACUAGCUUUCUGACAUAAGGCAGACAAGAAUAGAGAAAAAAGAAUAAAAAGGAACUGAAAAAACCUUCAAAAAAUACGGGAUUAUGGAAAGAGACCAAAUCUAUAACUGAUUGGUGCACCUGAAAGAGAUGAGAAUAAAACCAACUUGGAAAACAUAUUUCAGGAUGGCAUUCAUGAGGACUUCCUUAACCUAGCUAGAGAGGCCAACAUUCAAAUUCAGGAAAUGCAGAGAACCCCCAGUAAAAUACUUCACAAGAUCAUCUCCAGGACAUAUAAUCCUCAGAUUCUCCAAGGUCAAGAUGAAAGAAAAAAUGUUAAAAGCAGAGAGAAAGGCAAGGUCACAUACAAAGGGAAGCCCAUCUUAUUAAUGCUGGACUUCUCAGCUGAAAUCCUACAACCCAGAAGAGAUUGGGGGCCAAUAUUCAAAAUUCUUAAAAGAAAUGCCAACCCAGAAUUUCAUAUCUGGCCAAACUAAGUUUCAUAAGCAAAGGAGAAAUAAGAUCCUUUUCAGACAAGUAAAUGCUGAGGGAAUUUGUUACCACCAGACCUGCCUUACAAGAGCUCCUAAAGGAAGCACUAAAUAUUGAAAGGAAAGACCAUUUACCAGCCACUACAAAAACACACUGAAGUACACAGACCAGUGACACUAUAAAGGAACCACAUGUAAAAAGUCUGCAAAAUAUCCAGCUAACAUCAUGAGGACAAGAUGAAAUCCACACAUUAUCAACACUAACCUUAAAUGUAAAUUGACUAAGUGCCCCCAAUUAAAGGACACAGAGUGGCAAGCUGGAUAAAGAACCAAGACCUGUUGGUAUGCUGACUUCAAGAUACCCAUCUCACAUGCGGUGACACACACAGGCUCAAAAUAAAGGGAUGAAGAAAAAUCUACCAGGUAAAUGCAAAACAGAAAAAGGCAGGGGUUUCAAUCCUAGUUUCUGACAAAACAGACUUUAAACCAACAAAGAUAAAAAAAAAGACAAGGGCAUUACAUAAUGUUAAAGGGUUCAGUAAAACAAGAUCUAACUAUCUGAAAUACAUAUGCACCCAACACAUAAGCACGCAGUUUCAUAAACCAAGUUCUUGGAGACAUUCAAAGAGACUUAGACCCCACACAGUAAUAGUGGGAGAUUUUAACACCUCACUGACAAUAUUAGAUCAUCGAGACAGAAAA
rnacentral:lncRNA from 1 species